rnacentral:rRNA from 1 species
CCAAUAGCGUAUAUUAAAGUUGUUGCAGUUAAAAAGCUCGUAGUUGAACUUCGGGGUCUACCCAUUGGUCAGGCUUAAUUGUCUGCACUGGUGAGAUGGAUCUCUACCUUCUGAGGAACUUUCAUGCCAUUUAUUUGGUGUGAUUGGAAAUCAGGACUGUUACUUUGAAAAAAUUAGAUUGUUUAAAGCAGACUAUCGUCUGAAUACAUUAGCAUGGAAUAAUGAAAUAGGACGGACUGAUUCUAUUUCGUUGGUUUCUAGGAUCACCGUAAUGAUUAA